GGCCUCGCUUGUCGUUGAAGCAACCUAUUUACAACGACGACGACGACGACGAGGAGUGCAGGUCUUGGGGUCGGAGGUUUUCCACGGCGUUCACUUGGGGUUUCGCGCUCAGGAUCGCUCUCCUCCUCCUCCUUGUGGCCGCCGUUGACACGGCUUGUUUUACUCUUCCUGUUGAAAAGGUUCGGUUUUUCUCAUCUGGGUCGGUUUUGUUUUCGUUUUUUGAUAGCUCAAUCUGUGAGUUUCUUCCUGGUGGGUUUUGUUUUCCGUUUAGUUUGCGAUGAUUUUCCAAUGUGUUUUGAUUGAUUUUGAUUUGGGUAUGCAUCUUUUUGGUUUAUGGAUUAUUGGAUUGGUCUCA